GGUGGGGUGGCUGAGUGGCUGAAAGCGGCAGUCUUGAAAACUGUUGUGGGGAAUUUCUCCACCGUGAGUUCAAAUCUCACCCCCACCG
rnacentral:tRNA from 1 species